CCCUAGCCCCGAUUGAAACGGAAAUCCUUUUUUGAAACUUUGCCAAAAGUUUCAAAAAAGAUUGCAGUGUAAAGCGGGAAAUAGC
rnacentral:sRNA from 1 species